UACAGAGGUCCCAAGCGUUGUUCGGAUUCAUUGGGCGUAAAGGGUGCGUAGGCGGCGCGGUAAGUCGGGUGUGAAAUCUCGGAGCUUAACUCCGAAACUGCAUUCGAUACUGCCGUGCUUGAGGACUGGAGAGGAGACUGGAAUUUACGGUGUAGCGGUGAAAUGCGUAGAUAUCGUAAGGAAGACCAGUGGCGAAGGCGGGUCUCUGGACAGUUCCUGACACUGAGGCACGAAAGCUAGGGGAGCAAACAGG
rnacentral:rRNA from 1 species